rnacentral:misc_RNA from 1 species
GCGAGUGCGAGCUCCCUAUAUCCUGUGAACUGUCCUGUUGCUCCGGCGGGCUCGCCUGCCGGAGUCCACUAUAACUCUGUAUUUACUGUCUCUCUGAGCACCAAAAGAAAUCGUUG